AGGCUGGGGUAAAGGCCAUCGAUUGUGCUGCUUCUAAUGUAUCCAACAUUGAUGAGUUGAGAUCUAUUAAAGAGCUGCAUCUCAACAUUGCUAGAUGAUUUGGAGAAAGGUCUAAAAGGGAUUGCUAUAACGAAGGAGAUGACUCGGCAUUCAAAAGACUAUUUGGUAUCAUUUGGAGAGUGCAUGUCAACAAGGAUUUUGCAGCAUAUUUGAACAAAAUUGAUGCUAAAGCUCGCCAGGUCUUGUGAAUAUAUUGUGACUUUGCACAGUCUUGGACUUCUCAACCACAGAAGUAGCUCCUCUCACACAACUGCUUCUCAAGGCUCACAACCAACAACUCUACUUUGACACAAAAAUCCAGCAGGCGAAGCUACAGAUGCUGCAAACUUAAUCCUUCUCAAUGAAAUCAACAGCGAACUUGUUCUGAAUCCAGCACAAGGAGUUUCAAUGCCGCCAAAACUCAACGAAGCUGUCAUUGCCAAAAAUGCUAGAAAUACAUUCUCUUCCUACUAUAUUUUUUGCAGAUCUAUUGUUUGACCAAAUCCUUCUCCAGAUGACGGAAUUUAGGCUUCCCCAGAGUCCGAAAUACAAAAAAAAAAAAAGAAAAAAAGAGCUAAAUCCAAAAUCCUCUCUGCUUCUAACAAAAAUCUUUUAAGAUCGCAAACACUUCAAUCUAGCAGCUACAGAUCAAAGGGGAUUUCAUUGAAUCGCUCAAUCUCACGCACCAAAAAAAGAAAAAACUCUUUCUUCUCUCUCAAUGUUGUAAGUGAUAUAUUUUGAUCCAUCUUCUCUUGAUUCCUUUUCUACAUGCCCGGGCAUAGUACUAACAACAAUUUCUAUUGACGACUAACCCAAGCAGAGUCUAAUUCUAGACCAUUUAUAGCUUCGACGGCCCGCUGUAGUCUCCAGCAUUUCCUAGUUAUUUAAUAGCCUUUUUUUUCCCCCCUUUCUUGGCAGGAAAAGCAGCUUUGUUAACUCUCGGUAGCCUCGUUGUGGGUGCUGCAGUGGGAUCAGUGGUUGAGAAUUGGUUGCAGGGUGUGUCACAAUGUAGAAAUGCUGAUAUCUUGGAAGCAACUUAUCCUGCUGUUGCAGAGAGAUUGCGUGGAGCCUGGAUAAGUGAUCCUGCGAUUCCUGUUGUUACUGUCUUGCUCGGAAAGGGACAGAAAUCUUGGGCUGUAACUACCUUAGGAAAGGGCGGGAGUGAUUUGACAGCUACAAUUGGCAAAGUCUUGGGUUUAAGAGAAAUUCAGGUUUAGUUCAAAACCUUAGCGCAUGUGAAUUUAAGACUUGUCUGUACAUAUGGAGAGAGAUUCAUAACCACUGGCCCCUUUUUUCUCGGAUAACCAUAACCACAUCCCAUUUUGAUUUGAAAGAUCACAUAUGAUAUUCUCUUGUUUUGUUACACCAUAUCAUUAGAACUUCUAUUGGAGAACUACCUUAAAGUUUGCAUUUAUUUUUCCAACUUUUUGCU